UGCGGCCCAGAGGCUGGCGCGGAGAGGGCCCACAGUGGACUUGGUGACACUGUAUGCCCUAACCGCUCAGCUGCUGGGUCUGGCA
ensembl:miRNA microRNA 675